rnacentral:rRNA from 1 species
GACGAACGCUGGCGGCGUGCUUAACACAUGCAAGUCGAACGGAAAGGCCCUGCUUUUGUGGGGUGCUCGAGUGGCGAACGGGUGAGUAACAUGUGAGUAACCUGCCCUUGACUUUGGGACAACUUCAGGCAACUGGGGAUAACACCGGAUAGGAGCUCCUGCUGCAUGGUGGGGGUUGGAAAGUUUCGGCGGAUGGGGAUGGACUCCCGGCUUAUUAGUUUGUUGGUGGGGUAGUGGCCUACCAAGGCUUCGACGGGUAGUCGGCCUGAGUGGGUGACCAGCCACAAUGGUACUGAGGUACGGCCCAGACGGCAACAGUAGACAGCGGUGGAAAAUAUUGCACAGUGAUCGGAAGCCUGAUGCGACGGCCCCGCGUGCGGAAUGACGUCCUUCUGGUGAGAAACCGCUUUCACCUGUUACGAAGCGGUAGUGACGUUAAUAGGUAAAGAAGCACCGGCUAACUACGUG